CCUACGGGAGACUGCAGUGGGGGAUAUUGCACAAUGGGGGGAACCCUGAUGCAGCGACGCCGCGUGGGUGAAGAAGCGCCUCGGCGCGUAAAGCCCUGUCAGCAGGGAAGAAAAUGACGGUACCUGAAGAAGAAGCCCCGGCUAACUACGUGCCAGCAGCCGCGGUAAUACGUAGGGGGCAAGCGUUAUCCGGAUUUACUGGGUGUAAAGGGGGCGCAGACGGCGAUGCAAGCCAGGAGUGAAAGCCCGGGGCCCAACCCCGGGACUGCUCUUGGAACUGCGUGGCUGGAGUGCAGGAGGGGCAGGCGGGAUGCCUGGUGUAGCGGUGAAAGGCGUGGAGAUCAGGAGGAACACCGGUGGAGAGGGCGGCCUGCUGGACGGUAAGGGACGUGGAGGCCCGCUAGCGUGGGG
rnacentral:rRNA from 1 species